rnacentral:rRNA from 1 species
GACGAACGCUGGCGGCGUGCCUAAUACAUGCAAGUAGAACGCUGAAGAGAGGAGCUUGCUCUUCUUGGAUGAGUUGCGAACGGGUGAGUAACGCGUAGGUAACCUGCCUUGUAGCGGGGGAUAACUAUUGGAAACGAUAGCUAAUACCGCAUAACAAUAGGUGACACAUGUCAUUUAUUUGAAAGGGGCAAUUGCUCCACUACAAGAUGGACCUGCGUUGUAUUAGCUAGUAGGUGAGGUAACGGCUCACCUAGGAGACGAUACAUAGCCGACCUGAGAGGGUGAUCGGCCACACUGGGACUGAGACACGGCCCAGACUCCUACGGGAGGCAGCAGUAGGGAAUCUUCGGCAAUGGGGGCAACCCUGACCGAGCAACGCCGCGUGAGUGAAGAAGGUUUUCGGAUCGUAAAGCUCUGUUGUAAGUCAAGAACGAGUGUGAGAGUGGAAAGUUCACACUGUGACGGUAGCUUAACAGAAAGGGACGGCUAACUACGUG